UUCUCUCCUCACUGCACUUCUUCCCUCCUCUAGGCCAAGUCAGGAGUCCGAGGAAAGCAAAAGAACACAUACAAGAUGGCCUCUGUAAAGCCUUAUUCCUGUCCCAGCAAAGGUGAAGUCUCUAAGGGUGCUGCCGUGCACCCCAGUCUUGUGACCCUUGCCUUCCAGGAGCCACUGAAGAAAAGGAGCCACUGGAGGUCUUUCAAACAGCAGGAAGAUUGGGCCUGUCCCCCUUUGGUGCAGAUCCCAAUCUGCUGAGGAGACCUGGAGCCCAGUCCUCCACACCUGCCAGAGGGUCCCAUCCUCUUCCUGGUGGAGGAGGUAGAAGGGAAGACAGCCUCUCCUGUGGCUGAGGAACACCACCCACCAGGGACUGCUCAUCCCAGCACUGGUCUGUAGAGGAGCUCCUGACAUGCUUCUGCGUACCUCACUGGCCUGGGAACCGGCCACAGCCAGUCCUCGC